CGGGAUGUAGCGCAGCUUGGUUUAGCGCGCAGCGUUCGGGACGCUGAGGUCGGGGGUUCAAAUCCCUCCAUCCCGACCA
rnacentral:tRNA from 1 species